rnacentral:tRNA from 1 species
AAAAUAAUGAAGUAAAAUUUACAUUUAGUUUCGACCUAAAAUUAAGGCUUCAUACCUCUUAUUUAA